UACAGAGGUCUCAAGCGUUGUUCGGAUUCAUUGGGCGUAAAGGGUGCGUAGGUGGCGCCGUAAGUCGGGUGUGAAAUUUCGGAGCUUAACUCCGAAACUGCAUUCGAUACUGCGGUGCUUGAGGACUGGAGAGGAGACUGGAAUUCAUGGUGUAGCAGUGAAAUGCGUAGAGAUCAGGAGGAACACCGAUGGCGAAGGCAGGUCUCUGGGCAUUAACUGACGCUGAGGAGCGAAAGCAUGGGGAGCGAACAGG
rnacentral:rRNA from 1 species